GGGAUUGUGGCUUAGCAGUAAGAGCACUCGCCUAGCAUGUGUGGGGCCCUGGGUUCGAUCCUCAGCACCA
rnacentral:tRNA from 1 species